UAUCCAAAUCUGGCUACUUCUUAUUAGUAUUUUUAUAAUAAAGUGCUCUGCCUUAAUAUUUGACAGAGGUGCAAAACUGGUUCUGUGGUAACUGACUUUUGAGCCCUGCUAUCAUGUAUACUCUGGCCAGAACUGGUAAAGAUAACUGUCUCUGUGGUUCAGAACUGUUUUUAUUUUGGUAAAUGAUGGCUAGAAAGAAAAUGCUAAACUGAUGGUAAUGUAAUAUUCCUUCUUUUGACAUUUAUAAAUAUUUGUGUGCUAGGGAUUGUUUUUAAAGUAUUGAACAUAACAUCUAACCCUGCUUUCAAAUUACUGAUGAAUAGAGGUUGUUUUUUAGUAUGGAUUAUCUGAAACUAAUUUUAAAUCCAACUUGAAUUCUUCAUAUUUAGUUUUAAAAAGAUAUUUUAAAUUUUACAGAAUUCUUUGGGGUAC
rnacentral:lncRNA from 1 species